CACAAUUUCACACUGCCUUCUGACGCUGCCUGCGACCCGUUGUUUUGGAAAAAACAGCCCACUGACAUUUAGGGCCCGUCACUGAAUUGUCCUGCCCUGUAACCAUUUUGUUGUGCUUGCUUGGUUGGACAUUUAUGAUUUUAUGGACUAAAUGGACUUUGGCUCAGUGGCAGUAUUGUGUUUUAAAGGCUGUCAAACCAUUAAAUGAUAAAUGGUGCCUUUGAAGGGCCCUCCACAAGGAUAAUACAAUUUCUGCUUAUGAAGUUACCCACUGGGCACAUAUGUCAAUUCAACGUCUAUUCCACGUUGGUUCAAUGUAAUUUCAUUGAAAUUACGUGGGAACAACGUUGAUUCAACCAGUGUGUACCCAGUGGGUAUUUUCAGAAUGUAAACACAUAAACCUGGCCAAAUAGAUAACCUAUUCCUAUUUUUAUUUUACUUUCUUGGAAAAAAACAUAGUCAUUUACAAUAACAUUGUAACAGUUGCCAUGGAGAGGAGAGUUAGUAGAGCCAAUAGCCCUUAUGCACAUUCCAUGAUCGAACGUUCUAAACACACUUUCUACCGGUGUGGCAAUUUCCGGCAGUCUAGAUGUUAUUGACGAUAUAACGUUACUACCACUAUGUCGCCGUUUUUUUACUAGGUGUCUUCAGGACUUGCCUCAAAUUAAUAUUAAUGAUGUACAUCGAAUUGUUAAAUCAGCUUCCGAGACUCCAGCUAGCAAGAAUGAAAAGGGGUUAAAGAUGUAUAUAGGAACCUACAUAGACAACUAUGAGUACCAAGUCAGUGACAGAUAUAACGUUAGCUAGCUACAAUCAUUAGCUAGCUAAUUUAACUAUUAACUGUAGCUAGCUAGUUACUUCGUAAAAUGAUGUAACGUUGACAGAAUCUACCUGAGACUGUGUGUAUUUUCGUUAGCUUGGUUAAGUUAUGCUUGCUAGCUAAAAAAUAAUUGUUAUUCGUGUCUUCUACACAGUAUCUAACAAAGAUACAUUGACAGGGGAGAUCACCGUGAGGGCUGCCUGUCACAGGUCCAUGAGGAAGAGUGAAAAGCCGCACAGCAUGAGAGUAGGGAAAGGUUAUAGAUAGCUACUAGGGACCUUGUUAAACAUCUCCUGUGGGACACUGACAUCAUGGUCAAAAUGUGUUGGAGACAGUGUCAACAUUUAAUCUUAUCAGUAGAUAGAAAUUAAUGAUGGGUCCCAAUCCCAAUUUAGAAUUGCCCACUUAACAGGUUAAAGCACUCCGUACCAGUGAUAGUUGUCCAAAGCCACUGCUCCUGUGUUGCAGGAAGUGCUAUGUGCAAUCAUCUGGUGGCCCUUCUUUACCAGACAGCGCACUACUCUCAACUAAACAUUCCUACUGCACCACCAGUUAGUUCACAGCUGCACAGACACAGAACAGAGUUGGCACAAGCCAAGAACACUUGUGAGUCUAUCAAUAUCCAUAAAAAAAUGCACCUGAAAAGUAUUCAGCCUAUGUAACAGUAAAUCCGUGUUAAUUAGGGUGUGAAACCAGGUCUGUUUGAUGGGAUAGAGUUCCGUAAACCAACUAACUCGUGUGCUGAUGGAAUAAGAAGUGCUCUCUACAAAGCACUCAAUGGAUACAUGCCUGACAUGGACCUUCUCCGCAUCUCAGAAACGUAUGCCAACUUUUCUCCACUUACUGCCCCUCUUGUGACAACAAUGGAAAUGUCAGCUGACGUGCCCCUGGUUGAGUCCGCCUUUGGGCCAGUGCAAGCCGGCAGUGUUCUGUCCUAUCAGCUUCCACAGCCAAAGACCCGUGAAAUUGUGAAGAUUGCCGAUGCCCCUUCUCCACCAAUACUUCCAUUAGAUGGCUACAGGCUUCAGUCUUUCCAGUGUGCUUACGUCCUUAGCCAUCAGGAGCAGUUCCACCUCAAGGCAUUAGAGACAACCUAUGAGAUGUCACACAAAGUCCAGGUUGCUACAAGGGAGCAGAGCAGCAGCCCGGAAUGGCAUCAGCUCAGGAAAAUGAGAAUAACAUCCUCUUGUUUCCGAAAGGUUUGCCAUGUCCGGGGAGAGACCUCACCUCAGACCACCUAGCUGAGCGGAUGUUCAAGGGAUCUGGUAUGCAGACCAUGGAGAUGAAGAGGGGGCUUGCCAUGGAGCCAGUGGCUGUACAGGAGUACUGCACACUGAAGAAUGUUAACUUCUUUCCGUGUGGCUUCGUAGUGCACCCAGAUGCUCCGUGGUUAGGAUCCUCUCCAGAUGGCAUCAUAUUUGAUCCCAGUGUGAGACUACACUUUGGACUCUUAGAGGUCAAGUGCCCAAAUGUACCAAGUUAUGUUGACUGCCCUUACCUGAAGAUACAGAAUGGAGAGCUGAAGUUGAAGAGAUCUCAUGCUUACUACUGGCAGGUGCAAGGUCAAAUCCUUCUCACAGGUUGUAGCUGGUGUGACUUUGUCAUCUGUGCACAGGAGGACAUCCUAGUUGAAAGGAUUUAUAAAGAUCUACAUGUUUCAAAAACUAUAAGAGAGAAGGUUGACCACUUGUAUUUUUACCACUACAUGCAGAAGUGUCUCUCGCACCUGAAUGGAACCCCUGCAUGGGUGCCAAGUUUAGUGGUUUUAUGAAAAAUAAGUAUUGAUGUUCUUGUGAAGAAAUCUACAGUAGAAUAGAUUUGUUUAAAAAAAUGUAUUUCAGCAAAUGUUCAACAGUUCAGUUAAUCAAUUACACAUCUCUAACGUUGUA